CAGUAGCCGCGGUAAUACGAAGGGGGCUAGCGUUGUUCGGAUUUACUGGGCGUAAAGCGCACGUAGGCGGACUUUUAAGUCAGGGGUGAAAUCCCGGGGCUCAACCCCGGAACUGCCUUUGAUACUGGAAGUCUUGAGUAUGGUAGAGGUGAGUGGAAUUCCGAGUGUAGAGGUGAAAUUCGUAGAUAUUCGGAGGAACACCAGUGGCGAAGGCGGCUCACUGGACCAUUACUGACGCUGAGGUGCGAAAGCGUGGGGAGCAAACAGGAUUAGAGACCCGCGUAGUCCCUGUCUCUUAUAC
rnacentral:rRNA from 1 species